CAGAAGGGAGGUGGGACUGCCAUGAUCUCCUGGAUGCACAGAAGAGAGGGGCUUCGUCAGGAGUGUAGGCGACACUGGACCACUGGAACCAGGCGAAUGACCAGGCCCUGCAGCUGAUCAAGGGCCUAAAGGCGCAUAGGGAGCCAAAGGAGAAGAUGGACCCGCAGGACAAC